AUGAUCACCAUGGACUUCAUAGACGGAUUACCCCAAUUAGGUCAACACAAUUGCAUUUGGGUCUUGGUCGAUUGGAUGACGAAAGUUUCCAAUUUUCUGCCUCUUGCCCACCCUUGCACAACUUCUCGUGUUGCUCUUCUAUUCAUGCAGCACAUCUAUCCUAUUCAUGGUUUCCCUCAUGCCAUUAUCUCUAAUCGAGACCCGACUUUCACUAGCCACUUAUGGCAAGAACUAUUUCACUAUGCCGACACCGAACUGCGCAUGAGCACAACAAAACACCCCCAGAUUGACGGGCCAUUCGAACGCGUCAAACAGUGUCUUGAAACUUUCCUUCGUUGCUUUACUCAUGCUUUCUCAGCGAUGGAGUCAUUGGUUCCCGCUUGCCCAGUUCUAGUAUAAUUCUUCACCCCACUCUGCUAUCGGAAUGCCCCCUCUAAAGCCAUGUUUGGGCACGAGCCUCAUCAUUGGGGGAUAACCACUGCAUCAGCUUGUUUGGUGCCCUCCCUGCACUCUUGGUUGGAUGAGCGCGCGGUCAUUCAGGUCCUGCUCCAGCAACAUCUAUCCCGUGCGCAGCACUGCAUGAAACAGCAGGCCGACCGACAACCUUCUGAACGCAACUUUGAGGUGGGCGACAAAGUGUUCUUAAAGCUUAACCCAUAUGUUCAAACAUUAGUGGCAAAACGAGCCAGUCACAAGCUCUCGUUCUGGUUCUACGGGCCCAUCCCCAUCAUCCGCAAGAUCAACGAAGUGGCAUACGAAAUGGAGCUACCACCACAAGCUACAGUUCACCCUGUAUUCCACGCUCCAUGCUACGUUGCGCGGUCCUCCCUGAUACGUCGGUCGAACCUCUGCUCCCUUUCGUUUCUGACAUGCCGACAGUACCACAAGCCAUCUUCGACACCCGCUGGAGGCGCAGGCACGGCGCCAUGGUCGAGCAAGUACUCUUGCGCUGGUCCGAUCGAGCCAAGAUCAACGACACUUGGGAAGACAAGACAGAGCUGCAAGCACACUUUCUUACUGCGGAGGCUUGGAGGCAAGCCUCAUCUCAGGGAGGGGGAAUGUCAGGUCCUCUGA
rnacentral:rRNA from 1 species